UGUAUGUGGCUAAUGGGGUAGGGGACAUUGAAUCAGAAGUAAAAAUCCACAAGGAGAAAAAGGAACAUUGCAGCCUUGAAAGAUCCACAGUCAGUCUUUGCCACUAAGAGAAAGGAAGAGGCUGACUUGCGACAGAGCAGACUUGGAGAGCUGGGAAUAAGGGAGGGGGCUAGCAAUGAACUCACAGAGCUAAAACAACUGAAAGUCAGUAAUUGCCUUUCAAUAGUGUCUAAGCCCCAGGAGCUCCAUUAAAGCAGCCAAAAUGGAUUGAAUUCCCACUGGGGAAGACGCUUGCCAUUGAUCGCGCAGACCCAUCCAGCAAUUCCUGCGUCUUAGCAGGAAUGAUUACUCCCCAAGAAAUCCUGCCCAGAAGCCUGCGUCCAUCACUUUCCCAGUGACUGAAGAAAGCAUCCUGGGCAGGAUGAAGAUGGCAUGAUAGAUUCCUGCAGCACAAGCCAAAAAGGGGAGAAUGUGUGAAGAUGAAGAUAUUGAGUCUUAAGGCCUUUGGCUUCGUAAAACCUUGUAUGUGGUCCGGGGCUUCCUGCCUGACUCCAGAGCCCAAUUUUCAGCCACAACACUAGAU
rnacentral:lncRNA from 10 species